GUGACUAUAGCUCAGCUGGCAGAGCGUCUGGUUGUGGCCCAGAAGGUCAUGGGUUCAAGCCCCAUUAGUCACC
rnacentral:tRNA from 1 species